rnacentral:ncRNA from 1 species
GCAGAGUAGGAAACCGUGCGUUAAGUGCCGCAGGGACGGGGAGUUGCCCGGCGGACGAAGGCUUUGCCCGCGGUACGGUUUUCGCAUCCCGCUGC